rnacentral:rRNA from 1 species
GAUGAACGCUGGCGGCGUGCCUAAUACAUGCAACUCGAGCGAACAGACGAGGAGCUUGCUCCUCUGACGUUAGCGGCGGACGGGUGAGUAACACGUGGAUAACCUACCUAUAAGACUGGGAUAAAUUCGGGAAACCGGAGCUAAUACCGGAUAAUAUAUUGAACCGCAUGGUUCAAUAGUUAAAGACGGUUUUGCUGUCACUUAUAGAUGGAUCCGCGCCGCAUUAGAUAGUUGAUAAGGUAACGGCUUACCAAGGCAACGACGCGUAGCCGACCUGAGAGACUGAUCGGCCACACUGGACCUGAGACCCGGUCCAGACUCAUACGGGAGGCAGCAGUGGGGAAUCUCCCGCAAUCGGCGCAAGCUUGACGGAGGAAAGCAGCGUGCAGGAUCAGGCUCUUCGGAUCGCAGACCUCUCUUAUUAGGGAAGACCAAAUGUGUAAGUAGCUCUUCACGCAGUGACGGUCCCUGGAAAGAAAACCACGGGUAACGACAUG